AACCGCCCACCUGUGCGUGGAGCCUUCAGGUGCGGUAGAACCCGGCACGAGGGCAAGGGUUAGAGGGACGCUUAGUUUGUCACCUCACGCGCAGGGCCUCUGAAGGCUAGGGACUUAUCUGCCCUCUGACUUACCUGUCUGAAGGGGCAGUCAGUUCCUCACCGUUGCCUUCCAGGCGCCCGGGAAACACGACCUCCUGGCGGGCCCUCCCGACGCCGGAGGGCGGAGACGAAGAACUCUGCGCAUAGGCUCGAGGACGCAGCGGGCAGUGGAGGGCUCAGGAUGCUGGAGGUGCUGGUGCUGAAGAUUGAAGAUCCAGAUUGCUUCUGGGUUGUUAUAAAAGGAUGUAGUCCUUUUUUAGAUCAUGAAGUCGACUAUCAAAAACUAAAUAGUGCCAUGAAUGACUUCUAUAAUAGCAGGCAUCAAAAUACGGAAAUAAAACCGUUGAUUUUGGAAGAAGGGCAGGUUUGUGUGGUCUAUUGUCAAGAGCUAAAGUCCUGGUGCAGGGCUGUUAUUAAAUCAAUCAUACUUUCAGAAGACCAUUACCUGGCCAAGUGUUUCCUGGUGGAUUUUGCCAAGUACAUUCCAGUAAAAUCUAAAAACAUCUGUGUUGCAGUAGAAUCUUUUAUGCAGCUCCCCUAUAGAGCAAAAAAAUUCAGACUCUAUUGCACAAAACCUGUUACAUUACACAUUGACUUCUGUGAAGACAAUGCUGAAAUUGUACCUGCAAAGAAAUGGGACAGUGCUGCUAUCCAGUACUUUCAGAACAUCCUGAGAGCAGCUACUGAGGUGCAAGCCAAAUUAUGUGCUGUGGAAGAUGAUACUUUUGAAGUUUACCUUUAUGUAACAAUAAAAAAUGUAAAAGUUUGCGUUAAUGAUGACCUAGUUGCAAAGAACUUUGCCUGUUAUGUGUCACCCAGAAAGAAUGAACACCUUCAUUUAGAGGAAGCAACAUUCAAUAUAAAGUCAGAAUCCUUUUCCAGUAAACUCAAUCCAGCACUUACUCUUUGGCCAAUGCUUUUGCAAAGGAAAGAUUUUCAAGGAACAAAAAAUUCACAUGGGUUAGAUUUUCUGGCACAGUCUCUCCAGCACACAUGGUGCAAGGGUGUUGCUGGUGACCUUGGGCCAGCUGCUGCAGUACUGGUUAAAGGUGUAAAAUGGAAUAUGGGUUCAUUGAGAGACUCACCUAAUAAAAAAUCUGAACAGCAGCAGCAGUGUGUCUCUUUAAAAGAUAUAAAUAAGUGUGUUGAAUCUUCAACUUACUGGCCAACAAAAAGAGGCAUAACCAUAUAUGCUGAUCCAGAUGUACCGGCAGCAAGUGCUUCAAGUCAGAAGCCAAAUGAGAAACCACUAAGAUUAGCUGAGAAGAAAGAGUGUGAUGAGAAGAAUAGCUGUGUAAAAUUACUGCAGUUUUUAAACCCUGAUCCUUUGAGAGCUGAUGGAAUCUCUGAUCUGCAGCAGUUGCAGAAGCUGAAGUCAGGCACGCAGCAGCCUGUCAUGGUCCUCCGGCACAAGAUCGAGCCUUGCCUGACCAUUGACAGUUCACCACUGUCUGCAGAUUUGAAAAAGGCUCUUCAGAGAAAGAAGUUCCCGGGACCCAGCCGUACUGAAUCUUACUCUUGGCCUCCCAUAGCACGUGGCUGUGAUGUGGUUGUCAUUUCUCACUGUGGAAAUGACCCUUUGUUGUACCUCCCACCAUUGCUUACCAUGUUGCAAAUGGGGUGUUGCUACAAGUCAUUACCAAGUAGAAACGGACCUCUUGUAAUAAUCGUGUGCCCUGGGUGGAAAAAGGCCCAAUUAACUUUUGAAUUAUUGGGAGACUACAGCAUGUCCUCCAGGCCUCUUCAUCCGAUGUUCUUAACAAUUGGACUUCACAAAGAUGAAGCCAAAAACAUGAAGCUUCCAAGGGGGUGUGAUGUGAUAGUCACAACACCACACAACCUCCUGAGGCUUCUUGAAUACCAGAGUUUGUUAUUUCUUAGAGUCUGUCACCUGGUCUUGGAUGAGGUGGAAGUACUAUUUUCUGAGGCUAAUGAACAAAUGUUUGCUAUAUUAGAUAACUUUAAAAAAAAUGUUAAAAUGGAAGAAAGGGAGUCUGCACCACGUCAGAUCAUUGCAGUUGGCGUUCACUGGAACAGACACAUAGAACACCUGAUGAGAGAGUUCAUGAGUGAUCCCUACGUUGUGAUCACAGCCCCAGAGGAAGCUGCCCUCUAUGGGAACAUUCAGCAGGUGGUGCAUCUUUGCCUAGAAUGUGAAAAAACCUCUACUUUACUCCAGGUUCUUGAUUUCAUCCCCAGUCGGGCACAAAAGACCUUGAUCUUUACCUGCUCUGCAGCUGAAACAGAAAUAGUGUCUAAGGUAGUGGAAAGCAAUUCAAUAUUUUGCUUGAAAAUGCAUAAAGAAAUGGUUUUUGACUUAAAAAAUGUUUUAGAACAGUGGAAGAAGUUAAGUUCUGGCUCUCACAUUGUAUUAGCCUUAACUGAUGACUGCAUACCACUCCUGGCCAUCACUGAUGCCACAUGUGUGAUUCACUUCAGCUUCCCUUCUUCACCAAAAUUUUUUGGUGGUCGCCUAUAUUGCAUGUCUGAUCACUUUGAGAGUUUAACUGAACAGGGUUCUCCUGCAGAGCAGAGAGAUAAAAAACCCAAGUCUGUCUUGUUGCUGACGGAGAAAAAUGCAAGCCAGGCAGUUGGUGUCCUGCGCUACUUGGAGCGAGCAGAUGCCAAAAUCCCAUUGGAGCUGUAUGAGUUUACUGCAGGAGUCCUGGAAGCCAAAGAAGAUAAGAAGGCCAACCGACCUCUGUGUCGGUAUCUUAAGGCUUUUGGAUUUUGCAAAGACAAAAGGAUCUGUCCUGACCGACACCAUAUUAAUCCAGAAACGGACAUGCCAAGGAAAUUAACCAAACAAGCACUACCGAUGUUUGGAUACAUUAAAAUAAUACCUUGUUACAUUUCAAAUGCAACGAAUUAUUUUGGUCGCAUAAUUGAUAAACAUGUGGAUCUUUAUGCAACUCUUAAUGCUGAAAUGAAUGAGUAUUUUAAGGAUUCUAGUAGUAAAACAACUGUUGAGAAGGUGGAGAAAUUCAGAUUGUAUGGAUUAGAAGAAAAAACAUCUUUUCACAGGGUUCAAGUGUUAGAGAUGAGCCCACGAGAAGAUUCAUGGGUCCUGGACAGUGUCCUGGUGAAAUUCAUAGAUGAAGGCAGGACAGGACUGGUCGCUACAGCCCAGCUGUUGCAUCUCCCUGAGAACUUCAGUGCUCUUCCCCCGCAGGCUGUGGAGUUUAUUGUCUGCAGAGUGAGGCCCGCUGACAAUGAGAUAGAAUGGAAUCCAAAGGUUACUAGGUACAUUCAUCAUAAAGUUGUUGGAAAAUUGCAUGAUGCAAAGGUGGUAUUGGCUUUGGGAAAUACAGUUUGGAUUGAUCCAAUGGUACAUGUUACAAAACUUUCAAAUUUGAGAACUUCUGUUGUUGAUUAUAAUGUGCGAGCUGAAAUUUUGUCCAUGGGAAUGGGCGUUGAUAAUUCAGAACAUGUAGAAGAACUAAAAAAAUUAUACAAAGGAGCUAAAAUGCCAACUUCUGAAGAAGCCCUAAACCAAACCCCGACACCUCCCUCGACAUCUGCCUCAUCUCCUUUGCUGUCAGCAGAAGAUACCACUUGUCUCCAGGGCUCGAAGCAAGAGAACUGUGGUGCAGAAAGAGGGACUGGCUCUGAGACAAAGUCAGAAAACUCAGCGCCUGAAACUUUAUCUGAAAACCCUGGAGAUAUUUCCGCUAGUAGAACAUUGCAGCCACAGCUGAAAAGCUUCCACCCACAAAUAAAGUGGUUCCAAAAAGAUGAUGCUGUCAUCCUGAAGAUAAAAAUAACGAAUAUAAAGGAUUACAAAUGUAAAUAUUUUAGAGAUAGAGUUGUUUUCAGUGCAUGGGUGGGAGACAAAUUUUACUUGGCUGAUAUGGAGCUGCAGGCCAGCAUAGUAAAAGAAGACUGCAAGUGCAUAAUUACAAAUGAUGAGCCUGUAAUCACUCUCCCAAAAGAGAAAAGGGGAUCCUGGUGUGGCUUACUCCGACAGAAGAAUCCUAAUGUGACAUUUGACUUCGACCACUGGGAAGAAUGUGAUGAGGACAGAGAGGAAGGCCUCUUCUCAAAGGUUCUCAAGACAUGGAGAGCUGCUGAGACAAGGAAGCUCACAUCUUUUCCCAAGGACAGUGGGAUGGCCUCCGUGAGACCAGCAAGACCCAGGCUUUCUAGAGGUGACGCUUCGGGUUCUGGAUAAUGCCUGGACUUGAAAAGGGACUAAGGCAGUGAUGACAAACCUUCUAGAGCUUUCAGCAAUACAAACGGUCCACUGAGGCAUGUGUGCCAUAGUUUCUCUACCGCUGGACUAAGGGGUCUUUGUUGGCAACUUAACAGGAGUCGUGCAGUGCCUGGAGGUAACCUUCAGAACACCUGGGAGAGGAUGUUCCAGACCUGGAUUCACUCAUCUCUCCAGGGAACUUCAUAUCCCUUUCAUGAGAAAUGGGAUGUAAAGAUGUUAUUCUGGGACUUCUGGGAAAAUGGUGGUGCAGUGCGCAGCAGUGAGCCAGCCUCUGUGAGAUUCAGAGUCCGGACACUGUGAUACAACAGCUUGGAGAAGAAAAGAAGGAAGGAGGUGAAUCCCCAGGACCCAGGAAGAAUCUCAAGGGAAUCAUCGGAGCCCACAGAGAAGAUGAAGAGAUGGACCUCAACACAGAAAAGGGAGGUGGCAAACUUCACUUCCUCCCUGACUCCCAGCUCUCAACAUGAGAGAGGAGGCUCAAAUCUACAGAGAUACAGUGGGGGCAGGUGACCCCAGAGGCUUCCACAGAGAAAUCCUCCAGGGGAAUGGAGCAAUGGAUGCUGUGAACUACGACAGCUGGUGAUUAAUUCCAGUCCAAAUGUCUCCUACAGAGGGAGCAUGGCCAUACACCAUUGUAGGGAGGUGACAGCUGAACCUGGGACUUGAGUUGUAUGCUGGGUUCUGCUCAGGGCUCCCAGAGACUGUGUGAGGCACCACUGAGGGAGACAUCCAGGGCUAGGGAGCUGAGAUCAGGGCAGCAAGAGACACCCAGGGAGUUGUAGGUUGAACAACUCAGGCACCAGCCCCACAACCAGAGGCCAGGAUUAGCUUGAAGUUUUGUGGAAUUGAAAGCACCAGAAUUGGCUAUUCCUACUGCAGGCUUGCUGGGAUUAUGCAGAAUUCUGCCCUAAUCCUACUGAAGGCUUGCUGGGAACAUACAGCACAUAUCUGGGCACUGUCUGCCUCCUAUGUCUAACAGUGACAGUGGAGACACACACUGAAUUGAACAUUACCACAAAUCCGUAGCUCCUAGAUGAUAAUCACAGGGUUGAAAUCACAGAGAAAUAUUUUCUCUUUGCUUGUGUUUGUUUUUCUUGAUUGUUUGUUUUUGUUUUUUCAUGAGUGUGAACAUUACUUUUAGGGUUUUUGUUUUUGUUUUUUCCUUCUUUCUUUCCCUCCUGUCUUCUUCCCCAGUUUUCCAAAGGUCGGGCAGUUUUCCUUUAUCCUUCAGCCUUGUUUUUAAUCUCUUUCUCUUCUUUUCUCUAGUUUUUCCUUUUCUUUCUUUUCGGUUUUCUCCCCUGAGGGUAAAAUCCCUUUAUUGAGAGGAUAUUUACUGUGCAUAAUUUUCUGAUUUGUUUUAGGUUUUUUUUUGGUACAGGGGAUCAAACUCAGGACCUUGCUCUUGGAGGCAGGUGUGGCACCACUGAGCUAAAUCCCUGGACUCCUAGAUUUUGUUAUAUAACUGUCAAUCUUGUACCUGUGGUUUAAGGAGGUAACAGCACAGUUUGGAAUUUUCUAGCCUGUGCUUGAUGCUGCGGUUACUACUGAUGGCACUACUUUAGCUAAGGUGGCAUAGUUGUGAUCAGUUGUUCUUCCAAUAACAAGAUUGUCUUGGGGUCAUAAACAAUACCAUAAUCCAGGACCAAAGAACUGAGUGCUAGGCCAAAUAGGCAGCAACUUCUCAUCCCUAAAUGAAGAGACAGGAUCUUGAGAUAGAUUCAGAAGCCAAAAGCCAGAUACACCCAGAAGACAUCUCUGAAAAGUAGUCAUUUCCUCAAUACAAGUAACAAAACCUACCUACAUCAAAGCAGGAAAGAAAUUUGAAAAUUAUAAAAUGAGACAUGGAAGCAAAAUGCAGUCCUAGACCUUCAGCUGACCCAACAAAAAUCCAGGGGGCAUUGAAGUGGAAGAAAUAAAAAGCCACCCAGCUGAACUUUCUGAAAUUGUAGCACCAGAAGUAACACAGCAGAUGAAUAACACCCUAGACUAAAACAAGUCAGAAAUAAUUACACAGAUUACUAAUGAAAUGAUGACCAUAAUCAAGGAUAUUUUUAAUGAAUCUAGAGUAGAUACAGAUUUUUAAAAAGAGGAAAGUAGGGCCAGGGAUUUAGCUCAGUGGUUCUGCCGCCUGCCUUGCUAAUGCAAGGUCCUGAGUUCGAUCCCUGGUACCAAAAAAAAAAAGUUGGGCCUUUGGAAGCUGAAUAGGUUUUGAAGGCUCUCUAUUCAUGAAUGAAAAAAAAGAGGAAAGUAAGAAAGUGGUGGAAAUUAUGAAUGCCAAACAUAGGGAAAAACUGGAUUCCAUAAAGCAGAUUCAAACAGAUAUCCAGGAUAUUAAAUUUUCUAUUGUAAGUAUAUGCAGC